AGAGUUUGAUCCUGGCUCAGAUUGAACGCUGGCGGCAUGCCUUACACAUGCAAGUCGAACGGCAGCACGGGAGCAAUCCUGGUGGCGAGUGGCGAACGGGUGAGUAAUAUAUCGGAACGUGCCCAGUCGUGGGGGAUAACGCAGCGAAAGCUGUGCUAAUACCGCAUACGAUCUACGGAUGAAAGCGGGGGAUCGCAAGACCUCGCGCGAUUGGAGCGGCCGAUAUCAGAUUAGGUUGUUGGUGGGGUAAAAGCCCACCAAGCCGACGAUCUGUAGCUGGUCUGAGAGGACGACCAGCCACACUGGAACUGAGACACGGUCCAGACUCCUACGGGAGGCAGCAGUGGGGAAUUUUGGACAAUGGGCGCAAGCCUGAUCCAGCAAUGUCGCGUGCAGGAUGAAGGCCUUCGGGUUGUAAACUGCUUUUGUACGGAACGAAACGGCCUACUCUAAUACAGUGGGCUAAUGACGGUACCGUAAGAAUAAGCACCGGCUAACUACGUGCCAGCAGCCGCGGUAAUACGUAGGGUGCGAGCGUUAAUCGGAAUUACUGGGCGUAAAGCGUGCGCAGGCGGUUAUAUAAGACAGAUGUGAAAUCCCCGGGCUCAACCUGGGACCUGCAUUUGUGACUGUAUAGCUAGAGUGCGGCAGAGGGGGAUGGAAUUCCGCGUGUAGCAGUGAAAUGCGUAGAUAUGCGGAGGAACACCGAUGGCGAAGGCAAUCCCCUGGGCCUGCACUGACGCUCAUGCACGAAAGCGUGGGGAGCAAACAGGAUUAGAUACCCUGGUAGUCCACGCCCUAAACGAUGUCAACUGGUUGUUGGGUCUUCACUGACUCAGUAACGAAGCUAACGCGUGAAGUUGACCGCCUGGGGAGUACGGCCGCAAGGU
rnacentral:rRNA from 1 species